UUUUUGGCACAGCGUCGUUGGGAAAGUGCACUUCCUUGUUCUGACCUUGCCUUUUAUGGGCUGGAGCGAUAUGAAUCGUAAAUAUGCCACGGCGAAGUUGUCGAAGAUGCGAGAGUGCUACGCUGUUAGAACAAUUCAUCGGUGCAUUCAAGUGUUACCUAUUAUAAGCUGCCAAAAGACCAAGCAGUGCGAAGCUCUUGGCUGACAGUGGUGCCUGCUAAUUUCCACUGCAAGGAUUUCGUCCACGAAUGUUAUCAUAGGUUACGCGCGACUCCAGAGGCAAUUUGGAAUCUCGGCACGAAAUCGUCUGAUGAAAAUCUGAGGUGCCCGACGCAUAACAUUUUGAACGUGCCACGGAGGAUCAAGGCAAAAAACGAGAGCAAAAAAUGGUGCACGCUGAAGGCGGAAAUGAAGCAUGAUCUGGCUUGCAUCUGGUCAUGAAGAAAUUGCUGACACGUUAGUUGCAGUCCACCUCCACCAACAGGGUGGAAAACAAAGAUCGCCAUUCCGAUUAGCUGCUAUCUCCCAGUUCAAGCACUUUUGUGUCUGGACACUGGUUCCUGUGGAUGGGGUGUUACAAGCUUUACUGUCUGAUAUAGAAGUGAUGAGCAUCCAUAAGGACACAUGCCAGAAAGGGAGUCUCUUUGGGAUGACAAACCCUCAUCACCUCAUGAGGAUACAAUGGUUGACGAAUGGUUCUCAAGCACAUCGAAACUUCCAACAAAUAAUUCAUGAAAAAGCCAGUCAGUGCUAGCACCAGGAAUUGAACGUGGGCCAUCCUGCUAGCAGUCAGAGAUGUUCAGUGGUGUAGCCACGAGGGGGCUAGGGGGUCUCGAGCCCCCCCUACCUGUCACGGACCGACC